rnacentral:lncRNA from 1 species
AGCAUUUUAGGUAGGUGUUGUGCUCUUACAGGAAGAGAGAGAAAAACAGAGGGAUAGAAGACAAUGGCAGAGAGAACAGGGAGCAGCAGAUUCCAUUGUGAGGUCAUCAUAGCUGAGUGCUAAAGGGAUCUAAAUAUUGAAGUGAGGAAGACAAAUGAUAGAAGGAUGAAGGUGCUCUUCUUUUCUGCUAGUUUAAACUUAUCAUUAUAGCUACACAAAUGCUGUCAUUCAAUCUGGAUCUUAAUUAAAGAGAGAGAGAGAAAGAGACAGUGACUGGAUGUGGGGUAUAGCAAAGAGAGCUCAGUAAUAUGAACUCGAAUUGCAAAGUUAGGGGAUAGAGGAGUGACCCAUCUUCAAAGCAUCUCUGAAGGGACUUUGGUGCCAUUGAACAUCAAAGACUGAACACUGUUACCACAGACCAAGUCCCUUAUUUUUUUAAAAAGACACAACCAACCCAGAGAGGCAAAUUAGCCCUUGGUUAUACAAGAAGUUGUAAGAAGCAGCAUAUCUCUUAUGUCUUUUCUUUGCAGUUGCUACAGAGUAAAAGAAAAUCAAUUCGGUGUAUUCUCCAGGAGUAUGGAGGAAAACAGCCCUUAUUUCAAAAAAUUUUGGAAGGAAGAAAACCAAAAUAAUUUGUGUGGUCAUUGUUUUGUAAUACUGAUGGUGAAAUGCAUGUGAAUUAUCCAGACACAUCUUUAUUUCAGCCAUCCUAAAAUUUUGACUAGAAUUACAUAUUAAACUCUAAUUGCAUAAAUGUAAUUAAAAUAUCAGCUCAUCAAUGAUUC